CCCCAAACUUUUUUUUCCUUUUUUUCUUCAUGCAGAGAAUUAUGUUCUUCAUGACAGUGGCUGGUUUUACCUUCUGUCUUGUGCAGUGAGAGAGCAUCUCCAGGCUUUGCUAAUCAUAGCAAUACCCAAGACAAUGACAGUUCUUGCUCCUCUAUAUCUGACAUUUUUGGACUGCUCCUUUUGCACUUCAUCACACUUAUUUGCUUCACAUGGAGUGGUGUUAAACCUGUCUUCAAAAAGUAGUUGCCCAGGAGUUAACAGCUUAGGGGAUGGAAACACAUCUGAAAGUCUCCAGGAAGAUAAUACUUGGGAAGACAGGUUUAAGCUAAAUAAGAAAGCAGAUUUCAUCGGCCUUCUUGGAAACAACCUGUCCAGAGACUUGGGAUCCGUUUCUAAAUUUGGCCUUUGCAUUUUCCACGUACAGGAAGUGAUGAAAAUGGCAACAGUAAUCCCUGGAUAG
rnacentral:lncRNA from 1 species